rnacentral:rRNA from 1 species
AGGUAGUUGGUGAGGUAACGGCCCACCAAGCCGACGAUCGGUAGCCGACCUGAGAGGGUGGUCGGCCACAUUGGGACUGAGACACGGCCCAAACUCCUACGGGAGGCAGCAGUGGGAAUAUUGGGCAAUGGGGGGAACCCUGACCCAGCAACGCCGCGUGGAGGAAGAAGGUUUUCGGAUCGUAAACUCCUGUCCUUGGAGACGAGUAGAAGACGGUAUCCAAGGAGGAAGCCCCGGCUAACUACGUGCCAGCAGCCGCGGUAAUACGUAGGGGGCAAGCGUUGUCCGGAAUAAUUGGGCGUAAAGGGCGCGUAGGCGGCUCGGUAAGUCUGGAGUGAAAGUCCUGCUUUUAAGGUGGGAAUUGCUUUGGAUACUGUCGGGCUUGAGUGCAGGAGAGGUUAGUGGAAUUCCCAGUGUAGCGGUGAAAUGCGUAGAGAUUGGGAGGAACACCAGUGGCGAAGGCGACUAACUGGACUGUAACUGACGCUGAGGCGCGAAAGUGUGGGGAGCAAACAGGAUUAGAUACCCUGGUAGUCCACACUGUAAACGAUGAAUGCUAGGUGUAGGGGGUAUCGACCCCUUCUGUGCCGCAGUCAACACAAUAAGCAUUCCGCCUGGGGAGUACGGCCGCAAGGUUGAAACUCAAAGGAAUUGACGGGGGCCCGCACAAGCAGCGGAGCAUGUGGUUUAAUUCGACGCAACGCGAAGAACCUUACCAGGUCUUGACAUCCACUUAAACUUACAGAGAUGUAAGGUGUGCUUGCACAAAGUGAGACAGGUGGUGCAUGGUUGUCGUCAGCUCGUGUCGUGAGAUGUUGGGUUAAGUCCCGCAACGAGCGCAACCCUUAUCUUCAGUUACUAACGCGUAGAGGUGAGGACUCUGAAGAGACUGCCGGGGACAACUCGGAGGAAGGUGGGGACGACGUCAAAUCAUCAUGCCCCUUAUGACCUGGGCUACACACGUGCUACAAUGGCCACGACAGAGAGAAGCGAAAUCGCAAGGUAGAGCGGAACUCAAAAAAGUGGUCCCAGUUCGGAUUGUGGGCUGCAACCCGCCCACAUGAAGUCGGAGUUGCUAGUAAUCGCGGAUCAGCAUGCCGCGGUGAAUACGUUCCCGGGCCUUGUACACACCGCCCGUCACACCAUGGGAGUUGGGAGUGCCCAAAGCCGGUGAGGCAACCGCAAGGAGCCAGCCGUCUAAGGCAAGACCAAUGACUUGGGUGAAGUCGUAACAAGGUAGCCGUAUCGGUAGGUGCGGCUG